UGGGGAAUAUUGCACAAUGGGGGAAACCCUGAUGCAGCGACGCCGCGUGAACGAAGAAGGUAUUCGUAUCGUAAAGUUCUGUCCUAUGGGAAGAUAAUGACAGUACCAUAGAAGAAAGCUCCGGCUAAAUACGUGCCAGCAGCCGCGGUAAUACGUAUGGAGCGAGCGUUGUCCGGAAUUAUUGGGCGUAAAGGGUACGCAGGCGGUUUAAUAAGUCGAAUGUUAAAGAUCGGGGCUCAACCCCGCAAAGCAUUGGCAACUGAUAAACUUGAGUAGUGGAGAGGAAAGUGGAAUUCCUAGUGUAGUGGUGAAAUACGUAGAUAUUAGGAGGAAUACCAGUAGCGAAGGCGACUUUCUGGACACAAACUGACGCUGAGGUACGAAAGCGUGGGGAGCAAACAGG
rnacentral:rRNA from 1 species